UUAAGCGACUAAGCGUACACGGUGGAUGCCCUGGCAGUCAGAGGCGAUGAAGGACGUGCUAAUCUGCGAUAAGCGUCGGUGAGGUGAUAUGAACCGUUAUAACCGGCGAUUUCCGAAUGGGGAAACCCAGUGUGUUUCGACACACUAUCAUUAACUGAAUCCAUAGGUUAAUGAGGCGAACCGGGGGAACUGAAACAUCUAAGUACCCCGAGGAAAAGAAAUCAACCGAGAUUCCCCCAUUAGCGGCGAGCGAACGGGGAGGAGCCCAGAGCCUGAAUCAGUGUGUGUGUUAGUGGAAGCGUCUGGAAAGGCGCGCGAUACAGGGUGACAGCCCCGUACACAAAAAUGCACAUAUUGUGAGCUCGAUGAGUAGGGCGGGACACGUGGUAUCCUGUCUGAAUAUGGGGGGACCAUCCUCCAAGGCUAAAUACUCCUGACUGACCGAUAGUGAACCAGUACCGUGAGGGAAAGUCGAAAAGAACCCCGGCGAGGGGAGUGAAAAAGAACCUGAAACCGUGUACGUACAAGCAGUGGGAGCCUCUUAAUGGGGUGACUGCGUACCUUUUGUAUAAUGGGUCAGCGACUUAUAUUCUGUAGCAAGGUUAACCGAAUAGGGGAGCCGAAGGGAAACCGAGUCUUAACUGGGCGUUAAGUUGCAGGGUAUAGACCCGAAACCCGGUGAUCUAGCCAUGGGCAGGUUGAAGGUUGGGUAACACUAACUGGAGGACCGAACCGACUAAUGUUGAAAAAUUAGCGGAUGACUUGUGGCUGGGGGGGAAAGGCCAAUCAAACCGGGAGAUAGCUGGUUCUCCCCGAAAGCUAUUUAGGUAGCGCCUCGUGAAUUCAUCUCCGGGGGUAGAGCACUGUUUCGGCAAGGGGGUCAUCCCGACUUACCAACCCGAUGCAAACUGCGAAUACCGGAGAAUGUUAUCACGGGAGACACACGGCGGGUGCUAACGUCCGUCGUGAAGAGGGAAACAACCCAGACCGCCAGCUAAGGUCCCAAAGUCAUGGUUAAGUGGGAAACGAUGUGGGAAGGCCCAGACAGCCAGGAUGUUGGCUUAGAAGCAGCCAUCAUUUAAAGAAAGCGUAAUAGCUCACUGGUCGAGUCGGCCUGCGCGGAAGAUGUAACGGGGCUAAACCAUGCACCGAAGCUGCGGCAGCGACACUAUGUGUUGUUGGGUAGGGGAGCGUUCUGUAAGCCUGUGAAGGUGGCCUGUGAGGGUUGCUGGAGGUAUCAGAAGUGCGAAUGCUGACAUAAGUAACGAUAAAGCGGGUGAAAAGCCCGCUCGCCGGAAGACCAAGGGUUCCUGUCCAACGUUAAUCGGGGCAGGGUGAGUCGACCCCUAAGGCGAGGCCGAAAGGCGUAGUCGAUGGGAAACAGGUUAAUAUUCCUGUACUUGGUGUUACUGCGAAGGGGGGACGGAGAAGGCUAUGUUGGCCGGGCGACGGUUGUCCCGGUUUAAGCGUGUAGGCUGGUUUUCCAGGCAAAUCCGGAAAAUCAAGGCUGAGGCGUGAUGACGAGGCACUACGGUGCUGAAGCGACAAAUGCCCUGCUUCCAGGAAAAGCCUCUAAGCAUCAGGUAACAUCAAAUCGUACCCCAAACCGACACAGGUGGUCAGGUAGAGAAUACCAAGGCGCUUGAGAGAACUCGGGUGAAGGAACUAGGCAAAAUGGUGCCGUAACUUCGGGAGAAGGCACGCUGAUAUGUAGGUGAAGCGACUUGCUCGUGGAGCUGAAAUCAGUCGAAGAUACCAGCUGGCUGCAACUGUUUAUUAAAAACACAGCACUGUGCAAACACGAAAGUGGACGUAUACGGUGUGACGCCUGCCCGGUGCCGGAAGGUUAAUUGAUGGGGUUAGCGGUAACGCGAAGCUCUUGAUCGAAGCCCCGGUAAACGGCGGCCGUAACUAUAACGGUCCUAAGGUAGCGAAAUUCCUUGUCGGGUAAGUUCCGACCUGCACGAAUGGCGUAAUGAUGGCCAGGCUGUCUCCACCCGAGACUCAGUGAAAUUGAACUCGCUGUGAAGAUGCAGUGUACCCGCGGCAAGACGGAAAGACCCCGUGAACCUUUACUAUAGCUUGACACUGAACAUUGAGCCUUGAUGUGUAGGAUAGGUGGGAGGCUUUGAAGUGUGGACGCCAGUCUGCAUGGAGCCGACCUUGAAAUACCACCCUUUAAUGUUUGAUGUUCUAACGUGGGCCCCUUACCGGGGUUGCGGACAGUGUCUGGUGGGUAGUUUGACUGGGGCGGUCUCCUCCUAAAGAGUAACGGAGGAGCACGAAGGUUGGCUAAUCCUGGUCGGACAUCAGGAGGUUAGUGCAAUGGCAUAAGCCAGCUUGACUGCGAGCGUGACGGCGCGAGCAGGUGCGAAAGCAGGUCAUAGUGAUCCGGUGGUUCUGAAUGGAAGGGCCAUCGCUCAACGGAUAAAAGGUACUCCGGGGAUAACAGGCUGAUACCGCCCAAGAGUUCAUAUCGACGGCGGUGUUUGGCACCUCGAUGUCGGCUCAUCACAUCCUGGGGCUGAAGUAGGUCCCAAGGGUAUGGCUGUUCGCCAUUUAAAGUGGUACGCGAGCUGGGUUUAGAACGUCGUGAGACAGUUCGGUCCCUAUCUGCCGUGGGCGCUGGAGAACUGAGGGGGGCUGCUCCUAGUACGAGAGGACCGGAGUGGACGCAUCACUGGUGUUCGGGUUGUCAUGCCAAUGGCACUGCCCGGUAGCUAAAUGCGGAAGAGAUAAGUGCUGAAAGCAUCUAAGCACGAAACUUGCCCCGAGAUGAGUUCUCCCUGACUCCUUGAGAGUCCUGAAGGAACGUUGAAGACGACGACGUUGAUAGGCCGGGUGUGUAAGCGCAGCGAUGCGUUGAGCUAACCGGUACUAAUGAACCGUGAGGCUUAACCUU
rnacentral:rRNA from 1 species